rnacentral:rRNA from 1 species
CGCUAGCUACAGGCUUAACACAUGCAAGUCGAGGGGCAGCAGGGAUUUAGCUUGCUAAAUCCGCUGGCGACCGGCGCACGGGUGCGUAACGCGUAUCCAACUUUCCCGUUACUCAGGGAUAGCCUUCCGAAAGGGAGAUUAAUACCUGAUGGUGUUUGAAAUUCGCAUGUUUUUUAAACUAAAGAUUUAUCGGUAACGGAUAGGGAUGCGUGACAUUAGAUAGUAGGCGGGGUAACGGCCCACCUAGUCUACGAUGUCUAGGGGUUCUGAGAGGAAGGUCCCCCACACUGGAACUGAGACACGGUCCAGACUCCUACGGGAGGCAGCAGUGAGGAAUAUUGGUCAAUGGUCGGAAGACUGAACCAGCCAAGUAGCGUGAAGGAUGAAGGUUCUAUGGAUUGUAAACUUCUUUUAUAUAGGAAUAAAACCUCCCACGUGUGGGAGCUUGUAUGUACUAUAUGAAUAAGCAUCGGCUAACUCCGUGCCAGCAGCCGCGGUAAUACGGAGGAUGCGAGCGUUAUCCGGAUUUAUUGGGUUUAAAGGGAGCGUAGACGGGAUGUUAAGUCAGCUGUGAAAGUUUGGGGCUCAACCUUAAAAUUGCAGUUGAUACUGGCGUCCUUGAGUGCGGUUGAGGUAUGUGGAAUUCGUGGUGUAGCGGUGAAAUGCUUAGAUAUCACGAAGGACUCCGAUUG